rnacentral:lncRNA from 1 species
UUUCAUUUAAAAGACCACAUUUUAUUCAUCCCUUUUAUUAUUGGAAUAUGUCACUACUAUAGAAAAUGCUGGAAUGAGCAUCUUCACACCAUGCACAGAGCUUAUUUUUUUAAUCUCACAUAGGAAUCAUCAUCAGGAGCAUAGCUGAUGCCCCAUGUAGGCAAGGGCCUUUGAUCUUCAUAAGGGAGAAGUUCUUAUAAAAACAUGAAUGGCUGCAGUUCAAUUUGCUCAUGUCUGAGCCUGAGCCAAGCUUGAUGACUCUAGCCUGUUCAUGGUCUUGGGAGCCCUAGGUAAAGCUCAGCAGCGCUGGGAAUGCUCCUGAGUCAGCAGGGACAUAGCCAGUGUAGUCAGCUCUUCUGACAAUUAAAAGUGUCACAGGUUUGCAAGAACUUUGAUCUAGUUAGCCACCUUAAUCCAUUACUCUGUGACUAUCACAGCUGUCUCCUCC